rnacentral:rRNA from 1 species
CCUACGGGUGGCAGCAGUGGGGAAUAUUGCACAAUGGGCGCAAGCCUGAUGCAGCCAUGCCGCGUGAGUGAAGAAGGCCUUCGGGUUGUAAAGCACUUUCAGCGGGGAGGAAGGCGUUAAGGUUAAUAACCUUGGCGAUUGACGUUACCCGCAGAAGAAGCACCGGCUAACUCCGUGCCAGCAGCCGCGGUAAUACGGAGGGUGCAAGCGUUAAUCGGAAUUACUGGGCGUAAAGCGCACGCAGGCGGUCUGUCAAGUCGGAUGUGAAAUCCCCGGGCUCAACCUGGGAGCUGCAUUCGAAACUGGGGGGCUAGAGUCUUGUAGAGGGGAGUGGAAUUCCAGGUGUAGCGGUGAAAUGCGUAGAGAUCUGGAGGAAUACCGGUGGCGAAGGCGGCCCCCUGGACAAAGACUGACGCUCAGGUGCGAAAGCGUGGGGAGCAAACAGGAUUAGAUACCCCAGUAGUC